rnacentral:rRNA from 1 species
CAGUAGCCGCGGUAAUACGGAGGGAGCUAGCGUUGUUCGGAAUUACUGGGCGUAAAGCGCACGUAGGCGGCUUUGUAAGUUAGAGGUGAAAGCCUGGAGCUCAACUCCAGAAUUGCCUUUAAGACUGCAUCGCUUGAAUCCGGGAGAGGUGAGUGGAAUUCCGAGUGUAGAGGUGAAAUUCGUAGAUAUUCGGAAGAACACCAGUGGCGAAGGCGGCCCACUGGACGACUGUUGACGCUGAGGUACGAAAGCGUGGGGAGCAAACAGGAUUAGAUACCCCCGUAGUCCCUGUCUCUUAUAC